rnacentral:rRNA from 1 species
CCUACGGGGGGCAGCAGUCGAGAAUCAUUCACAAUGGGGGAAACCCUGAUGGUGCGACGCCGCGUGGGGGAAUGAAGGUCUUCGGAUUGUAAACCCCUGUCAUGUGGGAGCAAAUUAAAAAGAUAGUACCACAAGAGGAAGCGACGGCUAACUCUGUGCCAGCAGCCGCGGUAAUACAGAGGUCUCAAGCGUUGUUCGGAAUCACUGGGCGUAAGGCGUGCGUAGGCUGUUUCGUAAGUCGUGUGUGAAAGGCGCGGGCUCAACCCGCGGACGGCACAUGAUACUGCGAGACUAGAGUAAUGGAGGGGGAACCGGAAUUCUCGGUGUAGCAGUGAAAUGCGUAGAUAUCGAGAGGAACACUCGUGGCGAAGGCGGGUUCCUGGACAUUAACUGACGCUGAGGCACGAAGGCCAGGGGAGCGAAAGGGAUUAGAUACCCGGGUAGUC